rnacentral:rRNA from 1 species
GCAGUCGAGCGGAAACGAUGUAGCUUGCUACAGGCGUCGAGCGGCGGACGGGUGAGUAACGCGUAGGAACCUACCUAGUAGUUUGGGAUAGCCCAGAGAAAUUUGGAUUAAUACCGAAUACGCCCUACGGGGGAAAGCGGAGGAUCUUCGGACUUCGCGCUAUUAGAUGGGCCUGCGUAAGAUUAGCUUGUUGGUGAGGUAAUGGCUCACCAAGGCAACGAUCUUUAGCUGGUUUGAGAGGAUGAUCAGCCACACUGGGACUGAGACACGGCCCAGACUCCUACGGGAGGCAGCAGUGGGGAAUAUUGCACAAUGGGCGAAAGCCUGAUGCAGCCAUACCGCGUGUGUGAAGAAGGCUCUAGGGUUGUAAAGCACUUUCAGUAGGGAGGAAAGGUUGUAGAUUAAUACUCUGCAGCUGUGACGUUACCUACAGAAGAAGGACCGGCUAACUCCGUGCCAGCAGCCGCGGUAAUACGGAGGGUCCGAGCGUUAAUCGGAAUUACUGGGCGUAAAGCGUACGUAGGUGGUUUGUUAAGUUGGAUGUGAAAGCCCAGGGCUCAACCUUGGAACUGCAUUCAAAACUGAUGAACUAGAAUAUGGUA